rnacentral:rRNA from 1 species
AGUCCAAUUAAUUAUUAAAAAAUCAAAUUAUUAUUUGAGGAGCGUCUGUCGAAUACAUACAUAGGAUAAUGCUAAGAUUUAAAUCGAUGUACAUUAUCUGAUGCCUGUUCGGUGGCCUAAGGAACCAAACGAUGGGUCCUUCCCUUAUUGUAAGUGAUAUUAUCUAAAUAAUAGUAUCGGUAAUGGCGCAACGACUUCUCUAUUGUCUCCACUAAGUUCUCUAUGAAAUAGACUUAGCUUUGAAUAGGAAGCUUGAUAUACUGGGACGGUGAGACCCUGGGCACCUUUACUUCUCUUUAAAAAGUCUUGC